rnacentral:rRNA from 1 species
CCCUUAGAUGUUCUGGGCCGCACGCGUGCUACACUGAGUGGAUCAGCGGGUCAGGUUGCGCGAAAGUGUUUCCUAAUCUUUAAAUCCGCUCGUGAUGGGGAUUGGCGGUUGCAAUUUUCCGUCAUGAACGAGGAAUACCUUGUAAGCGCGGGUCAUCAUCCCGCGCUGAAUACGUCCCUGCCCUUUGUACACACCGCCCGUCGCUCCUACCGAUUGAGUGGUCCGGUGAGGCUUUGGGAUCUGAGCGGAAAGAGCGUUUCGCUGUUUCUGCUCGGAAAACUCAGUCGAACCUUAUCAUUUAGAGGAAGGAGAAGUCGUAACA